CCCUUAGAUGUUCUGGGCCGCACGCGCGCUACACUGAUGCAUUCAACAAGUUCUACCUUGGCCGAGAGGCCUGGGAAAUCUUUCAAAUAUGUAUCGCGAUAGGGAUAGAUUAUUGCAAUUAUUAAUCUUGAACGAGGAAUUCCUAGUAAAUGCAGAUCAUCAUUCUGCGUUGAUUACGUCCCUGCCCUUUGUACACACCGCCCGUCGCACCUACCGAUUGAAUGAUCCGGUGAAGCCUCGGGAUUGUGCCCAGAGAACUUUAUUGUGAUUUGGGUGUGAGAACUUGUCUAAACCUUAUCAUUUAGAGGAAGGUGAAGUCGUAACA
rnacentral:rRNA from 1 species